GACGAACGCUGGCGGCGUGCUUAACACAUGCAAGUCGAACGGAAAGGCCCUGCUUGCAGGGUACUCGAGUGGCGAACGGGUGAGUAACACGUGGGUGAUCUGCCCUGCACUUCGUGAUAAGCCUGGGAAACUGGGUCUAAUACCGGAUAGGAGCCAUUUUUAGUGUGAUGGUUGGAAAGUUUUUUCGGUGUAGGAUGAGCUCGCGGCCUAUCAGCUUGGUGGUGGGGUAAUGGCCUACCAAGGCGGCGACGGGUAGCCGGCCUGAGAGGGUGGACGGCCACAAUGGGACUGGGAUAAGGGCCAGACUCCUACGGGAGGGAAGAAGGGGGAAUAUUGCACAAAGGGCGCGAGCCUGAUGCAGCGACGCCGCGGGGGGGAUGACGGCCUUCGGGUUGGAAACUCCUUUCGCUAGGGACGAAGCUUUUUGUGACGGUACCUAGAUAAGAAGCACCGGCUAACUACGUG
rnacentral:rRNA from 1 species